rnacentral:rRNA from 1 species
CAGCAGCCGCGGGAAUACAGAGGGUGCGAGCGUUAAUCGGAUUUACUGGGCGUAAAGCGUGCGUAGGCGGCUUUUUAAGUCGGAUGUGAAAUCCCUAAGCUUAACUUAGGAAUUGCAUUCGAUACUGGGAAGCUAGAGUAUGGGAGAGGAUGGUAGAAUUCCAGGUGUAGCGGUGAAAUGCGUAGAGAUCUGGAGGAAUACCGAUGGCGAAGGCAGCCAUCUGGCCUAAUACUGACGCUGAGGUACGAAAGCAUGGGGAGCAAACAGGAUUAGAUACCCCCGUAGUCCCUGUCUCUUAUAA